rnacentral:tRNA from 1 species
GGCCUGGUAGCUCAGUUGGCUAGAGCGUUGGCUGUUCUUAAGUCUUCCCCUUGGUGGCGUGGGUUCGAAUCCUAGCGAGGCCG